GGGGGCGAAUUGGAUUCGACCGGAUAACUUGAAGUGUUAGUCGCGUGCCGUGGUUGGUCAGUGGGCCACGUUAAAAGCUGACCGUCAAUUUCAAAUGCCGAGGAAAACCUCGUCUUGGCUGCCUAAGCAUUGGUAGCUCCGAUUGCGGGCUUUUGCCGGGGAGGCCCAAAAGUCGGUUGUCAAAUCCGGCUCGCCGUCGGUCACGUCGAGUACGCUGACGGCUAAAAAACUGUCCUCGAAUGGUCCGUGGUAGCCCGUGUCGGAUGGGGAGCCGCGGACGACACUAAUCAACCGACUAUGCACGUAGAAGCCGACACGGAUGUGUCUCGGGACGCGGGUUCGAUUCCCGCCGCCUCCACUA
rnacentral:tmRNA from 1 species